rnacentral:lncRNA from 1 species
UUUAUGUCACUCAAAGUUACAAUCUUGGAGUAUGACUCUAAGAAUUGUUUUGGAACGAAGUAUGACUCAUCUUCUUGAUUUUAACCAAUCCAACAAUUCAUGACCUCUCUUCUUAGCCAUAACAAUGCACUAAGACGUCCUUAGAGUAUGAAUUUGUGAUAUGGUUUCAUAAUCAUUAAGAUGAUCAUGAAAUACGAUACUAAAGUACUCUCCCAUCCUUUCAGAUUUGAGAAACUUUUAUCUUUCUGCCUAAUUUGAUUCUUCUCAUUUGUUUUGUCAUACAUUGUAACCUUUCCAAUGUUACAGAAUUAUACUUAACCUUAUGAAAGACCUUGUAUAGUGGUUUGGUCUAGGCAUAGUCGUAGAUAGAAAUAGAUAUGUAAUUGUUCGUGAAUUGUAUUGUGUUUACGGUCAGAGUGGGUUUACGGCCGUAAACUCUUUACGGCCGUAAACACUUUACGGUCAUUAGUCAGGACUAUAAAUAUCGAGUUGUGUCAGUCAUUGUGGGUUGUUGAUGCUUUCGUAUACUUCCAAGUUGUAUCAGACGUUUUAUAGCAUUAAAGCGUAUGCAAGCUUGGCCUUUUGCUCUAUAUUCGUCUAUUAAUUCGUGUUUGUAUCUGUUAUUAUCUUUGAUCAUUGGUAGAUCUAUUUUUCGGGACUUCACAAUUGGUAUCAGAGCUAUACCAGUGUCAAAGGCGUUCAACAGCUGCGUUUUCAACUAAAUCGACAUUCACAGCAGUAUAGAGGGAUUUAUUUCAGUCGAAAUCAAAGUUUCUAGCAGUUUACGGCCGUAAACUCCUCUUCACGGCCACAAUUGCAUUCCUCGAAAAUGAUAGUUUUUCACAUCAUUCAAGCCUUCGUAAUCACAUAUUGGUUCAGGCAUUUAAUUGAGUUGUUUUUUAAAAUAAAGUCGAACCUUUUAUUUGAAUUUCAUUGACCGUAAACUCAAGCAUUCACAAAAAAUUGAUUUUCUGUUAAUCGAAAAUUACACCAUUAUUUUUUCGGAGUGUAAAUCAACAAGUAUACUUGGACCGUAAACUCGAGUUUACGGCCUAAGGUUUAAGGGCUACGAGUUUACAGCUUAAGAGUUUACGGCUAAGUCAGUUAAUUUACGGCUAAGGUUUAUGGCUUAAGAGUUUACGGCUAGUCAAAAUAAUUUUUUUUAAAAAAUAAUUUUUGACCGUAAACUCCAGUUUACGGUAUAAAAACAGUUUACGGCCGUAAGUUUACGGCCUAGUGUUUACGGCCUAAGAUUUCACGACAAAAUAAAUUUACAGCCUUAAAAUUUUCUAGUAAUAAUUUUUAAAAUAUGGAUACACAAAAUUCAACUCAAUACCAAGAGCUUGAUGCUGUGAUGGGUACAACCACGUGAAUUCCAAGACUUAUGUCUGCUGAUGGUUUCCCCGAGUGGAAAUAUAGAAUUGAGAAAUAUAUAAAGAUGAAAGACUUUAAGAUUUGGAAAUGUGUUUUAAAGGAUCCAGUCAGAAUCACCACUACAGUUGGGGGGCAGGUGGUCGACAAGAAAAUCGAAAACUACACUGAUGAAGACUUUGAGAGUGUGGAAGAACAAGAAAAGGCAUUGGCCAUUUUGACUAUGGCUUUAUCUCCAGACAUUGCUCAAGGAUUCAGAGAGUAUACUUCUCCCAAAGCUCUGUGGGAAGCUCUCAUUGAAGUAUAUGAGGGAAAUGAAGACAUGUGGGAAAGUCGCCAAGAUAUGCUGAGACAACGCUUCAAUAUGUUUAAUUAUGUCCCCAGAGAGACUCUCGAGGCUCAACUGCAGUGAUUUACAACUCUUAACACUGAGAUGACUGUGGCAGGGAUUUUCUAUACAAAGUCAGAAAUUAAUAAGAAGCUACUAAAUGCACUCCCAAAAUCUUGGGACAUGAAUGUAGCAGUAAUUAAGAAGACUAAGGAUCUUAAUCGCCUUUCCCUAGCUGAAGUGAUGGCUGUCAUCAAAGCGUGUGAUAUUGAUGACAAGCAGCGAGAGAUCAAUCAUGUGAACUCCUACUCAGCUGCCAAUCUUGGCAUUUCAGCUAAUAAUGCUCUCUCUUCUUUCUCCUAUACUUCUGCAGGUUCAUCUUCCUCUGCACCGGUCAUUCCUUACCCACAAGGCCAGCCUAUUACAUCUACCCAAAAUGUUUCAUCCUCUAAUGUGGCUUCUUCACCAAAGGGAAAGGAGGGUGAUGAAAACCUUGUCUUUGCAGCAGGGCUUGUGAAUUGCUACAAUGCUCUUGUAGCUGGGGAACUUCCUCCUCAAUUGUCAUUUGCAGAUCUUGAUCAAAUCCAUCCAGAGGAUGUUGAGGAAAUGGACAUCACAUGGCAAAUUGCCAUGGCUGUAUUUAGGGCAAAACAGUUUGCCAAAAAGACAGGGAAGAACAAUUGGGGAAUGAGUGCUGACAAGAAGGUUGGAUUCAACAAAGGAAAGCUUCGAUGUUUCAAUUGCCACGAGCCAGGGCAUUUUGCUCGUGAUUGCCCACACCCUGAUAGGAGGGUUAAUAAUGACAGAACAAUGGUUGCAGUUGGGAAUAAUCGAAGCAGUGGUCAAGCAAACAAUGAAAAGGCUAUGGUUGCACAAUCAUUUGACUGGGAUGAUCAAAUACAAGCUCUAAAUUUGUCUGGACCAGAAAAUGCUCACCUAGCACAAGUGAGGGAUGACGCUCAAGCAAGGACUGCAGUAGCUGAAGACAACAUGAUGAAGCUACAAUUUGGCUUGAUGGUAUCCUUCUCCAAGGUAAGUCUUCCAUCAUGCUCUAAGGCUUGUAUAGAUUAUGUGAAAACUUUACAGGAUAAAAUUGAGACAUUAGGUGAUGAAGUAGAAAAUCUUAGGAUUCUUCGUGAACUCAAUGACAAAUUAAUAAGAGACGUAGAAGACCUUAGAUAUGAAGGGUACCGACUUCGAAAAGGACAAAAACCACUUAAAGCUCAACUAGAAUAAAAAAUUAAAGACUUUAGGAGACUCCAGGAAGACUACAGCAACAAAUGUGAAAAUUACGAUUAUGUAGUCAAACAAAAUGCUGAGCUUGUAGCUGAAGUUGAAUCCUUGAAAGGAAACUUUGAGACCGCCAAACUUGAUGUCAGAAAAUAUGAUUUCUCAAGUGAGGUGGUUGCAAAUAUGAUAGACCAAAGUAUGCAGUUUAAAAGAAAUCAAUCAAAAGGUCUAGGGUAUAAACUUGUACCUCCUCCUUUCAAUCAUUCAUACGUGUCCAAGCCCUUGUCCAAAGAAGAGAUUGCCAAUGAAUCAUUUAUGAUUUAUGGCAAGCCCUCCGGUUUUGUUUCGGGAGGAUUUAUUAAUGUUGAAAGUACUAACAUUUCUACUUCUCCUGCAGAUCAAUCCUUGAAUCAGUCAAAGCACAAAGUUGAAGGAUGUGUUUCUGAAAAUAAAAUCGAGUCCAAACCUGAAGCUUUUAUUUUAAAUAAAGACAAUUCUUUGUUAAAUGUUUUAAGUGACAAUUUUUCUUGUGGUGUUUUUAAUUAUUCUGAUACAGUAGCUGCUACCUCUGAUACAGUUUUGAAUGUUUCUAAUAUGUCUGAUAAAUCUUUGAACAGUUUGGUUGACAAUUUAAACGUCUGUGAUAAAAAUGUUGAGAUACCAUUAGUCUCACAACCCUCAAUAAAUAUAGCACCCUCACUUGCCUCACAACUUGAUAAUAUUGCAUGUUUUUGUGAGACAAGCAAGGGUGUUUGUGGGGAAAACAAAUCUGACAAAUGCAGCACAAGUUCUAACAAUAACUAUCAGAUUUGUUUUAAUUGUGGCACUAAGGGUCAUAUUGCUAGAAAUUGUCUUAAUCGAAUGUUUGUGAGUUAUAAUCUUCCAAGAGGAGAGAACGAAUUCAGAGGAAGAUCCUUAAAUAGAAAUUCCUCUAGAAGUCGCUCUCGAAAUGAUUAUUGGGUAGAUAAAAGAAAUAGAAAAAGGGAUAUUUUUCACAGUCAUAAAAGGUUUUUUAAUCACCUUGUCCUGAACAGUCUGCCAAAAAGGAGCAUAGCCAUGCAAAGGUCAAGCUCAUCCCAAAGCAAUAAUGGAUCUUCAACCAAUUCUGGUAGAAGUAACACAUGCUUUAAGCAGAUCGUCAGACAUAAAAUGACAAAGUUGACUGAAUUUUUCAAAAAACCUAAUUAUAUAUGGAAACCCAAAUCUACUCCCAAUACAUCAUCUGUAUCCUCAGAGAAGUUCAUGUGCAAUAAAUCUGAAAAGGCAUCGGGAUCACCCAGGAAGAUCAUGACCUGGGUGCCCAAAUCUAAUUAAACCCACCCAUUUUGCAGGGGCAGUUGCGGGGAAAUGUCGUCAGACCAUGGUUCGUCGACAGCGGCUGUUCCCGGCACAUGACAGGAGACAUCACCCAAUUGAACGACAUUCAAUCAUUUAAUGGGGGAUACGUCUCUUUUGCGGGUGGAGAUGGAGGAAAAAUUACACAAAAGGGCACGGUAUCAAAUGGAGUUUUGAGUUUUGAAAAUGUGAAUUUCGCUCCAGAGCUAAAACACAGCCUGCUAAGUGUUUCGCAAAUCUGUGACAAAGGCUAUUCUACGCAUUUCACUGACAAGGAAUGCAUGAUCUUAAAGCCAGGUUUUGUCAUCCCUGAAGAAUGGAUUCUCGUAAAGUCAAAAAGGGAUGGAAAUGCUUAUAUUAUCGAUAUGAAUAGCAAUCUCCCAAAGCAAGUUACUUGUUUGUUCUCAAAGAUCUCUGAGCAAACUGCAAUGUUAUGGCACCGAAGAUUAGGUCACGCCAACGCCAAAAAUCUCAAUCGUCUUGCAAAGAAUGAGAUGGUCCGUGGAUUACCUGUCAAAGACUUUAUCACGUUUGAGAAAUGUGUGUCCUGUGCUCAAGGAAAGCAUCAUCGAAAGCCACAUUUACCGAAGCAAGUUAACUCAAUAAGUCAGGUUCUACAACUUCUUCACAUGGACCUAUUUGGUCCAGUGAAUGUGCUAAGCAUCAAUAGGAGUUCCUACUGUCUAGUUGUGAUUGAUGAUUUUUCUCGUUUUACGUGGGUUUUCUUUCUAUCCAACAAAGAUGGCGUUGCUGAAUUGAUCAAGAGGUUCAUCAUACUUAUUGAGAAUCAGACCAAUCAUAGGGUGAAGGCUCUUCGCACUGAUAAUGGAACGGAAUUCAAGAAUUCUGUUCUGAAUCACUUCUGUUCCGCUCACACACCUCAACAAAAUGGUGUUGUUGAGAGGCGAAACAGAACACUUAAGGAUGCUGCAAGGACGAUGUUGUGUGACUCAAAGCUUCCUGUUUUCUUUUGGGCAGAGGCAAUAAACACUGCCUGUUAUGUUCAGAAUCGAGUACUCAUCAACAAAGCUCAAAUGAAAACUCCAUAUGAAAUUUACUAUGGUCACAAACCGUCAGUUAGUCAUUUUCGAGUAUUUGGCUGUCCUUGCACCCUUCUUCACCUAGAUGCCAAUCCGAAGUUUAAUGCCAAAGCUGAUGACUGCUAUUUUGUUGGGUAUGCUGCACGUACGGCUUAUAGAGUCUACAACAAGAAAACCAAACAGAUUGUGGAAUCCUAUGACGUGCGUUGGUUGGAAGAGAAUGAGACAGACGCAAGAGUGGGUCCGGACUGGUUAUUUGAUUACACGUCACUUUUCAAAUCCUUAAACGUGUAUUCAAAUGAUGUCUCAAGAACUGAUUCGCAUUUGAAGAGUAUCUCUGAAGAUGAAGUCGAAGAAGUUGUAUACAAACCUGUAUCUAAAACUUCCAAUUCACUGAAAGGAAAGUCUAAAGCUUCAACCGAAUGGGGGUCCUCCGACUCGCACAAAGGAGAAUCUUCUGCUCCAGUUGAGGGGGAGUCUUCUGCUUCAUCUGAGGGGGAGCCGUCUGCUGAAAUUGAAGGGGAGUCUUCUGCAACAUCUUUCAAUAAGUCUUCUGCUACUUCUCAAGGGAGGCCGUUAUUGGAACAUGUCAGUCCUCAAUCAGACCACAUUGAUUCUUCGGAUGCUGAAUCAAGACCUCCCACAUUAUUAGAGAAAGAGUUCAUUCCAAAUGAUGCUUCCGCUGUCUCUUCAACCCUGAUGGAAUUACUCUUUCCUGACCUUAUUGCAGAUGAGUAUGUUGCAGAACCAUCUAGUUCUACUCAACAAGCAAAUGAAGGAGGUCUUAACAUUCACACUCUACCUGUCUCCAUCAAUGACAUCAGCCAAGAAAUACCCUCUAGGAUUCAACGAGAUCAUCCGCUCGAGAACGUUAUCGGCCAGCUAGAUAGUGGUGUUAAAACUAGAAGUCAAAGUGGAGACGUGAAUACAUGUCUGUAUUCUUGUUUUAUCUCUCAAAUUGAGCCCAAGAAUGUAGAAAUGGCUCUAAAUGAACCUAGCUGGGUGGAUGCGAUGCAUGAAGAAUUGCAUCAAUUUGAAAAACUAGGUGUUUGGAAGUUAGUUGAGUUACCAAAGGGCAAAAAGUCUCUUGACACACGGUGGGUUUAUCGUAACAAGCAGGACGAUUCAGGGGUCAUUGUGCGAAACAAGGCCAGACUGGUAGUUCGCGGGUUUCGACAAGUCGAGGGUCUUGACUACACUGAGGUUUAUGCUCCUGUAGCUCGCUUGGAGGCCAUUCGUAUCUUCUUGGCGUACGCUUCGUAUAUGAACUUCACUGUUUUUCAAAUGGAUGUCAAGACUGCCUUCUUGUAUGGCAAGGUGAAGGAAGAAAUCUACGUUGAUCAACCUCCAGGGUUUGUCGACCCGAAGUUUCCUAAUCAUGUCUACAAGUUGGAUAAAGCGUUGUAUGGGCUGCAUCAGGCUCCUAGAGCAUGGUAUGCAACUCUAACAAAGCAUUUGCUCGAACAUGGCUAUACACGUGGUACUAUCGAUCAAACAUUGUUUAUAAAGCAUGUCGACAAGGACCAGAUACUUGUUCAAAUAUACGUCGACGACAUAAUCUUUGGAUCAACAAGCCAACAACUUUGCAAGGAGUUCGAAAGUGUAAUGAAGAAAAGAUUUGAAAUGAGUUCUUUGGGAGAAAUGACCAUGUUUUUGGGGCUUCAGGUUAAACAGAAUUCAACCGGCAUCCUUCUUCAUCAGGCCAAGUACGUGGAUGAUAUUCUUGAGAAGUUCGCACUUCAUGAUGCUAAAUCUGCCUCAACACCGAUGGCUGAACGACCCCUCCUGACUCCAGAUCCAGAAGGCGAACCCGUAGAUCAAACUCUUUAUCGAUCGAUGAUCGGAUCCCUAAUGUAUCUUACUGCAAGUCGACCAGACAUUAUGUUCGCAGUUUGUCAAUGCGCACGCUAUCAGGCUAAUCCUAAACUCUCUCAUCUUAUUGCUGUUAAAAGAAUUUUUCGGUAUAUCAAAGGAAGCCCUAAAUUGGGUCUUUGGUAUCCGAAGAAUUCUGAAUUUAAUCUUUAUGCUUUUACUGACAGUAAUUAUGGAGGUUGUGAGCUUGACAGGAAAUCAACUUCAGGAGGAUGUCAAUACCUAGGUGACAGACUAGUUUCAUGGCAAUGCAAGAAGCAGCACACUGUCUCGACUUCGACAGCAGAGGCAGAAUAUGUGGCAGCAUCAGCUUGUUGUUCUCAAGUUAUUUGGAUCCAACAUCAGCUGUUGGACUACGGUUUGAAUUACUCAGAAACCCCUAUCUAUUGUGAUAAUGAGGCUGCCAUACAAAUUGCUAAGAACCCAGUCCAACACUCUAAAACCAAGCACAUCGAUAUUAAAAUUCACUUUAUCAGAGACUGUUAUGAACGAUCUUUAAUUCGAAUCGAACAAGUCCACACUGAUAACAAUGUGGCUGACUUGUUCACAAAACCUUUUAACAAAGCUCGUUUUGAUGUGCUUGUGGGAUUUCUGAAAAUGAUACGUUUUGAGGAUUAAGUUUUUUUUUUCUUUUCUUUUCUUUUUCUUUGUUUUGUUUUUAGUUUUUUUUUAAUUUUUAAUUUUAUUUUUAAUUUUAUUUUAUUCUUGGUCUUCUUAGUCUAUUUUCAAAUUUUACUAAGUUUGUCUUCAAUUUUUGUUAGGUAUGUUUAAAUUUGCGCACUUUUCUUUUGUUUAAAAUUCUCAACCAUGCACAAAUUUAGGGGGAGAAAGAAAAUCCAAAAACAACAAAAAUUACAAAAAUCCAAAAAUAGUGUCAUUUCAGUAAAGAAUCCAAAAUAGGGUUAUUUCAAAUCAGAAAUUUAAAAAAUUUUUUUGUUAGCAGCCUUCGUUGUAAGUACUGUGAUGGGAAAUGAUAUUAAUAAGUGAUAAAGGACGACCUGAAUCGGCGUAACGUACCUAAGUUGAAUCGUCUACGCUCUGUGCUCGAUGUGCUGGUAGGCGCGAAAGAUUUUAAAAAGGGACUUGACUAGGAAAGUUGAACCUAAUGAAUUUAAGGACUCGACAAAUUUUGACCUAGUUAGAUCCGUUUAAUCUGACAUCACGACGCUCGGAUAGGUUGAGCAGGGAGAUAAACAUGAGAAUCUACUCGUCACAUUAAUUGAACCCGUACUUGGAACCGUGGCUUAACUUUUCCUCGAUGUGCGGAUUCUGUCCUUAAUUCCGGUUGGAUGGGGCGACUGGUAAAUUCCGAUAAAUUAGGUCUGUAGAAAAUCGUUUUCUUUCUUUCUUUCUGUUAGUCAUAUGUUGUCUCCUUUGCGCGACUUCUAAUCCGACCUGGUACACAACAUAUGCAACUCCAUUUCUCUGUAGGAAAUAUAUAUGUGUGUGAAAUAUAUGUGUGAAAAACUUCUCAUCUGUUAGCCAUAUGCUGUCUCCUUUGCGCGACUUCUAAUCCGACCUGGUACACAGCAUAUGCAACCUUCUUCUUCUCAACCCCUCUGAAGUAGUUAGCAAUAGAAUUCUGUAUCCCUUCUCUCUCUGAAUGAUUGUCUGCUCACCCGGUGUAAGGAGUACUCUGGAAGUUCUUGAUGGCUGGGGCAUAUCAGGAAGCGGGAAACACGUUCCAGUACACCUAAAAAUUGAACUCAUACAGAUUGUCUGUAGAUCUCGCUGCUCAAUUUAGGUGGACAACAAUAUCCCUGGUUGUAGUCAAUUAAAUGGUCAUAAGGUAAUUUCACGUAAGAUUUAGGAGUUAUAAUAAUUACCAGAAAUUUACAAUUAGGUAUAUGCCCGAAUCAUGUCAUUGGUAAAAGGUCCAAAAAUGUCACAAAUCAUUCGCGCUUAAGUGGACCACAAUACUGGCAAUCGGUCAGACGAAGAUGUGAAGAUAAGGGUACCGACAAGUAGAAUAAGGCCGUCCAAUAACUUUGAUCCAAGCAUCACAAAAGAAGUGGUAGUUAAAGUGUUUCUUAAUUUCUUUGACGUUAAUUUUUAUUCUAUUUUUAUUUUUAAUUUUAAUUUUAAUUUUAUUUUUAUUUAAUUUUUUACAACUUCAAAUUUUAUGUUAAUUUUAUUUUACUUUUAUUUUUCUAGCAUUUAAAAUUAUGGUGUGUUAUUUUUUUAUUUUAAAAGUUUUUUUUUAAAAUUAAUCCUCAAAAGUUUUUUUAAUUAAUUAAUUGGCGAAAAAUUGGAAAGACUGGGCAGCUAUCAGGCAGGAGGGUAAGAAAGGUGGAAAGGUAAAAAGGUAAAAAAAAAAAAAGGGGGAGUUCACGGCCGGAAUCUCCCCACUCAACAGUUUCCGGCCGCAAACUACUCCCAAAAUCUCUCAAUCAANGUGUCGAAAAUUUUAUCUUCGAUUUUCAGAAAAACGAGUAUAUCAUCGUGAAGGUAGCAUCGUGUAGAUCUCGAAUAUGUAUUUUGUUUCACAGAAUCACAUCGCAUUGUGUUUCAAAAUUAAAAAAAACUGAGUCGAGGAGUUUACGGCCGUAAACUCUGAAACUUGAUGAUUUGGAUUCGAAACUAUUUUAUUAUGAUGCUAUUUCUCGUUAUGUUCACGACUAUAUGCUUUUCGGUGGUUAUUUCAAAGAGAAAGAUCGAUUUUAAGCCUCUUUUCGGUGUAGACAUUCAUAGGCCGUAAACUCCCAGUUUACGGCCCGUGAAUUCGAGUGUAAUUAUUCUGGAUUGUUUGAAAGAUUUCUAUGAUAAUUGUGCAUCGUGUUUUCGAAGUAAUUUCUAGGCUGUAAACUAGAGUUUACGGCCCAAGAACAAAUUGUCGAUUCAAGCUAUUUUUGACUGGGUAACGAUUGCAUGUUUUUCUUCGCUUAGACCGUGAACCAAACCAUUUUUUUUAAGGUUCCUUAGGCCGUAAACUAGAGUUUACGGCCCAAGAACCAAAAUUGUCAAAAGGUUUUAUUUUUUAAUUUUUGGAAGAGCAGUAAACAUACAUCAUUAAUAAAUAAUUUUUAUUUUGAUCACAAUUUUAUUGUCAUAUUUUUGGUCAAAAUAAAUUUUAUUGUUGGUGUCGGUUUCUUACAAUUGUGUUUGAGUGCAGGAAAAUGGCAAAUCUCAUGUUUGCAGACAUGCACAAUCUGGCGAUCGUUCUUGCUGAUCCACCUGUCGUUCAUUCCGACAUGCUUUCAAUGGUUCACAGGUUGCAUGAAUGUUGUGUUGCAUCAGCAUUGACAGUCAAUCCGGUGAUAUAUCAGAACAUUGUUCGUGAAAUUUGGGAGACGGCAAGGACGCAGAUGGAUGUUGAUGGAAAUUUCACGGUCGCGACGAAGGUGCAAGGACGAGAUAUCAUAAUCGAUGAAAGCUUUGUUCGAAACGCGUUGCUGAUUGAUGAUCAACCUAACUAUCCAACGGAAAUUGGCAUAGAAGAUGUUCAGAGAAUACUACGACGGAUGAGUUAUGAAGGAACCUACCCGCCAACGUUGAAAAAGCUGCUUCAUCCGUAUUGGAGAUUUCUACAUCAUGUGUUCGUAAGUUGCAUAUCGGGUAGAAGGAGUGGGGCUGAUGAAAUUUCUCAACGCACAACUGGUGCAUUGGUGUCUUUGGCCUCUGGAGUUCAUUUCAAUUUCUCAAAGUUCAUCCUAGAGGAAUUUGUCAUAAACAUCCGGGCUUCUACAAGGGAUACCUUUCUCCAAUAUCCCCGCUUCAUUCAAGUGUUUGUCGAGAUGCAGUUUCCUGCGGUUAGAAAGGCGGGAGACACUUUGGAUAUGAAAUCUUUGGGUCCACACACUGUGGAACUCAUUAAGCAAAACCGAAGAGGAAAAGUUGUCUUUCGAGGGCGUUAUCCAUUGAAAAAAUUCGGAAAGUUUACCGAAUUAGAUGAGACGCCAGUGUCAUACGAAUCAUCAGAACCGACUUCUUCUGAGAAAACGUCUACUGAGGGUUCGACUCCAGCAAACAUUGUAAUAGAUGUGACUGAAGAUGAUGAAGAUUCACCAACUCAGAGAGAUCAGAGUGAUUCUAGUCAUGAACACGAGUUGAAUGAAAGACAAGAUGAAAGGGAAAUAGGUACUGGUGAUGAUGGACAUGACUCAUUUGAAGAUCUUGAUCUUACGGGGUUUGAUAAUGAUGAUAUUGCGGCUUCUUUAGCUAGUAGCGCUAAUGUUGUGUCCAACGAGAUUUUUGACACGAUUUUUCAAAAUGUCGAUGAUAGUGUUUUGCCGUCAACUGAGAUGAGGAAAUCGAGCGAAACUCUUACUCCAACUUCUGAGCAGAUGGUGUCAACUUCAAUUCCAAUGGAGGUAGUUGUGGGAUGUUCCCCUCCCGUGUCUAUUUCUCCUACAUCUGAACCAUUUGUUAGUGUAAUACCUCCACAGGCUGACCAACCUCAAUCAAAGAGGAGAAGACUUGAUGAAAGACAAUCCGAGCUAAUUACUAGUUUGGUCAGUGGUCUUCCUACACCACCAAUUACUACUGCUACUACACGACUUUCUGCAACAAAGAUGUUUGCAACUGGACCUAGUUCAGUUUUUGAUGUUUGUGGCCCUUCAGCUCCGCCUGGUUUUCCUAUUCCAAGAUUCAAUAGGGAUGUCGCUUCUGAGAGACUAGCUUUGCAUAUGGCAGAAGAACAGCUUCGUUCGCCUAGUCCUCAAGGAAAGAACAUUUCUAUGAACGAAGGGGGUGCUCCUGAUGAUGAUCCAUCUCUUGAUUGUUUACGAAAGGAGAUCUCUGUAUUAAGUCAGAAGAACAUAGAGCUUGACAUUCAAGUAGCUGAACUUCGUGCUCAGAACAUUGAGCUUCGUACUCAAGUGUCUAAACUUCAGUCAGAUAGAACUUAUCUUGGCGGACAACUCGCAGAAGUUAAAAGGGAUAGGAAAGUAAAAAAUAAGCAGAUUUCUGACCUUCAAGAACAUUUCAAUCUGCUGACUUCAAGCUACUUCGAAUUGAAAAAGAAACUGGAGGAUGAUUUUGGUGAGAAGUAUAAAACAAGCGUAGAAGAACAAAGAAUAAAUUUACAUGUGCAAGCGUAUCCAGUAGAUGUGCCAGCUGGUCAAUCUUCUGGUUCUGCUGAACGUAUUGGAGCUGUUCCUCCUAUGGCUUCUCAUAUUCAAGAGAUCAUUCGGAAAAAUCAAGAAGAUGAUACUGAAAGGGGGCAGUUAUUAUUCAAGCGAAAUGUUACUCAGAGCAAUUCUAAAGGGGAAUCCUUGAUCACUGUCACUGAUCUUGAAAUUGUUCGGUUCAGAGAUACUUUUGGAGAUCGGUCGGGUGUAGCUGCUUGGGGAUUUCACGAUCCUCUUCGACUUUGGAUUAUUAUUCGCAAGAGUGGUAAUUCAGAGUUGUAUAAAGAUGUUCGUGCUUUUAGUUCAUUGACAAGGGUUGAUCUUGCGGAGUUAUCACAAGCUCCUUUUAUCAAUCUAUUAAACAAUCCUCGGGUUUCGCAGUUCAAAUUCUUUCUAGAUGAGCAAGUAAAGAAGGGCUUUCCUACAAUGCCAACUGCUGAGCCAGUCAUUCUGGAACAUCCAUAUGUGUUUGAAGCCUCUUCUGAUAAACCUCUACAAUUGGUUAUGUGGCCACCCACGACUCAAGUUAAACAAUUUCCCAUUGUUCAAGGUUAUAGAGAUGGAUCGCUCGGUUCUAUGGAGUGCUGGGUUUAUGAUGAGAGUACUUGUGGUGCAGUCAUUAAGCUAAAGAAUGGAUGCAUAUGGUUGUAUGAUCGAAGAGACCUACUGCAGUUCAGGAAAUGGGAUAUUCAUUAUCUGAGCAAUUUUCAGAUCAAAGUGGUUGAAGAUAUCUAUGAGCAGGGAGCCAAGGCAUAUACCAGGAUGGUUGCUGAAAUCUUGAGCAAGAAGAUGUGGAAUGGCGCUAUGGGCCAAAUGGAUGUCACGCUGGUAAUGAAAGGAAUGGGGCCGAGCUAGUCCAAACCAAGGGGGAGAUUGAAAGACCCUGUAUAGUGGUUUGGUCUAGGCAUAGUCGUAGAUAGCAGUAGAUAUGUAAUUGUUCGUGAAUUGUAUUGUGUUUACGGUCAGAGUGGGUUUACGACCGUAAACUCUUUAUGGCCGUAAACACUUUACGGUCAUUAGUCAGGACUAUAAAUAUCGAGUUGUGUCAGUCAUUGUGGGUUGUUGAUGCUUUCGUAUACUUCCAAGUUGUAUCAGACGUUUUAUAGCAUUAAAGCGUAUGCAAGCUUGGCCUUUUGCUCUAUAUUCGUCUAUUAAUUCGUGUUUGCAUCUGUUAUUAUCUUUGAUCAUUGGUAGAUCUAUUUUUCGGGACUUUACACCUUAUAAGUAUAAUCAUAUUUACUAAUCUUUAGUAAUCAUGACAAAUCAAUCUGUGUGGUGGACCUUGACCAGCGCACACCCAGCGUACCUAAUUCCUUAGUCCUUCAAUUGACUCACAUAUACAUGAGAUCAAAGAAUUAGUCUUAAUUUUCAAAGAUGAAAAUUCUCAUUCAUCAUACAAUACAACUUGUAUGAUUCCAAGUUUCUGUCCAAUUGAAACUUGGGUGAUGAAAAACUUUCUUCAUUUGGUAAAUUCAGACACUACCACAAAUGAAAGAAUCAAAUCCACUUUCCAAUAUUGCUAUUACUGGAAACAUAUAAGCAACAAUUUUCCACAGAUGCCAUUGUAAGGAUAUUUUUAAAAUAAAUAAAAUUAAAACCCUUUUUUUUCUUUAUUUUAAAACUUUGCGGAAAAACUUAUCCUUACAAUCCACAUGAAAACCUUGUUGUUAUCUAUUCAUAAGCAAUAUAUUAUAACUCUUAAGCAACAGCUCAAAAUUCUGAUUACCGAACCAUGCGAUCGAAACCCACCUUCGCAAUCAGAAUCA